CGGUGUGUAGCGCAGCCUGGUAGCGCAUCUGGUUUGGGACCAGAGGGUCGUUGGUUCGAGUCCAACUACACCGACCA
rnacentral:tRNA from 1 species